rnacentral:rRNA from 1 species
UACAGAGGGGGCAAGCGUUGUUCGGAAUUACUGGGCGUAAAGGGCGCGUAGGCGGCCUGCUAAGUCGAACGUGAAAUCCCUGGGCUCAACCCAGGAACUGCGUCCGAUACUGGUUGGCUUGAAUCCGGGAGAGGGAUGUGGAAUUCCAGGUGUAGCGGUGAAAUGCGUAGAUAUCUGGAGGAACACCGGUGGCGAAGGCGACAUCCUGGACCGGUAUUGACGCCGAGGCGCGAAAGCCAGGGGAGCAAACGGG